rnacentral:rRNA from 1 species
CCUACGGGCGGCAGCAGUGGGGGAUAUUGCACAAUGGGGGAAACCCUGAUGCAGCGACGCCGCGUGUGGGAAGACGGUCCUCUGGAUUGUAAACCACUGUCCCCAGGGACGAAGAUGACGGUACCUGGGGAGGAAGCUCCGGCUAACAACGUGCCAGCAGCCGCGGUAAUACGUAGGGAGCGAGCGUUGUCCGGAAUUACUGGGUGUAAAGGGAGCGUAGGCGGGACUGCAAGUUGGGUGUCAAAUCUACCGGCUCAACCGGUAGCCGCACUCAAAACUGCAGUUCUUGAGUGAAGCAGAGGCAGGCGGAAUUCCUAGUGUAGCGGUGAAAUGCGUAGAUAUUAGGAGGAACACCAGUGGCGAAGGCGGCCUGCUGGGCUUUUACUGACGCUGAGGCUCGAAAGUGUGGGGAGCGAACAGGAUUAGAUACCCCUGUAGUC